CAGUCGCCGCGGUAAUACGUAGGGUGCGAGCGUUAAUCGGAAUUACUGGGCGUAAAGCGUGCGCAGGCGGUUCGUUAAGACAGAUGUGAAAUCCCCGGGCUUAACCUGGGAACUGCAUUUGUGACUGGCGAGCUAGAGUAUGGCAGAGGGGGGUAGAAUUCCACGUGUAGCAGUGAAAUGCGUAGAGAUGUGGAGGAAUACCGAUGGCGAAGGCAGCCCCCUGGGCCAAUACUGACGCUCAUGCACGAAAGCGUGAGGAGCAAACAGGAUUAGAUACCCGCGUAGUCCCUGUCUCUUAUAC
rnacentral:rRNA from 1 species